rnacentral:sRNA from 2 species
UUAAUGGGCGGCUAGGGUUCCGGUUUCGUCGGAAAUGUCUGGUCCAAGAGCUGCCGGUUCUGUCUGCCGUGGGUGAUUGCCGCGGUGUGUCAGAGCUCCACGGAGGGAUAAAAGCCCGGGAGGA